UACGUAGGGGGCAAGCGUUGUCCGGAAUUACUGGGCGUAAAGGGCUCGUAGGCGGCCAACUAAGUCAGACGUGAAAUCCCUCGGCUUAACCGGGGAACUGCGUCUGAUACUGGAUGGCUAGAGGUUGGGAGAGGGAUGCGGAAUUCCAGGUGUAGCGGUGAAAUGCGUAGAUAUCUGGAGGAACACCGGUGGCGAAGGCGACUACCUGGCCCUGUUCUUGACGCUGAGGCGCGAAAGCUAGGGGAGCAAACGGGG
rnacentral:rRNA from 1 species